GCCAGGUGUGGUGGUGCACACCUGGAAUCCCAGCAACUCUGGAGGCUGAGACAGGCAGAUCGCGAGUUCAAAGCUGGCCUCAGCAACCCUGUCUCUAAUAAAAUACAGAAGAGGGCUGGGGAUACAGCUCCGUUGGUAGAGUGCUUGUCUUGU
rnacentral:sRNA from 1 species